UAGUGGCGGACGGGUGAGUAACGCGUGGGUAACCUGCCUUAUACAGGGGGAUAACAGUCAGAAAUGGCUGCUAAUACCGCAUAAGCGCACAGAGCUGCAUGGCUCAGUGUGAAAAACUCCGGUGGUAUAAGAUGGACCCGCGUUGGAUUAGCUAGUUGGUGAGGUAACGGCCCACCAAGGCGACGAUUGGUAGCCGGACUGAGAGGCUGAUCGGCCACAUUGGGACUGAGACACGGCCCAGACUCCUACGGGAGGCAGCAGUGGGGGAUAUUGCACAAUGGGGGAAACCCUGAUGCAGCGACGCCGCGUGGAGGAAGAAGGUUUUCGGAUUGUAAACUCCUGUCGUUAGGGACGAUAAUGACGGUACCUAACAAGAAAGCACCGGCUAACUACGUGCCAGCAGCCGCGGUAAAACGUAGGGUGCAAGCGUUGUCCGGAAUUACUGGGUGUAAAGGGAGCGCAGGCGGACCGGCAAGUUGGAAGUGAAAACUAUGGGCUCAACCCAUAAAUUGCUUUCAAAACUGCUGGCCUUGAGUAGUGCAGAGGUAGGUGGAAUUCCCGGUGUAGCGGUGGAAUGCGUAGAUAUCGGGAGGAACACCAGUGGCGAAGGCGACCUACUGGGCACCAACUGACGCUGAGGCUCGAAAGCAUGGGUAGCAAACAGGAUUAGAUACCCUGGUAGUCCAUGCCGUAAACGAUGAUUACUAGGUGUUGGAGGAUUGACCCCUUCAGUGCCGCAGUUAACACAAUAAGUAAUCCACCUGGGGAGUACGACCGCAAGGUUGAAACUCAAAGGAAUUGACGGGGGCCCGCACAAGCAGUGGAGUAUGUGGUUUAAUUCGAAGCAACGCGAAGAACCUUACCAGGUCUUGACAUCCGAUGCAUAGUGCAGAGAUGCAUGAAGUCCUUCGGGACAUCGAGACAGGUGGUGCAUGGUUGUCGUCAGCUCGUGUCGUGAGAUGUUGGGUUAAGUCCCGCAACGAGCGCAACCCUUAUUGCCAGUUACUACGCAAGAGGACUCUGGCGAGACUGCCGUUGACAAAACGGAGGAAGGUGGGGAUGACGUCAAAUCAUCAUGCCCUUUAUGACCUGGGCUACACACGUACUACAAUGGCGUUUAACAAAGAGAAGCAAGACCGCGAGGUGGAGCAAAACUCAAAAACAACGUCUCAGUUCAGAUUGCAGGCUGCAACUCGCCUGCAUGAAGUCGGAAUUGCUAGUAAUCGCGGAUCAGCAUGCCGCGGUGAAUACGUUCCCGGGCCUUGCACACACCGCCCGUCA
rnacentral:rRNA from 1 species